rnacentral:rRNA from 1 species
ACCUUUUGUAUAAUGGGUCAUCGACUUGGUCUAUCUAGCAAGCUUAAGCCGUUAGCUGUAGGCGCAGCGAAAGCGAGUCUUAAUAGGGCGCUUUAGUCGCUGGGUAUAGACCCGAAACCGGGCGAUCUAUCCAUGGGCAGGUUGAAGGUUAGGUAACACUGACUGGAGGACCGAACCGACUACCGUUGAAAAGUUAGCGGAUGACCUGUGGAUCGGAGUG